rnacentral:rRNA from 1 species
CUGCGGCAGCGUACACAUGCAAGUCGAGCGGUAACAGGGGUAGCUUGCUACCCGCUGACGAGCGGCGGACGGGUGAGUAAUGCAUAGGAAUCUGCCCGAUAGUGGGGGAUAACCUGGGGAAACCCAGGCUAAUACCGCAUACGUCCUACGGGAGAAAGGGGGCUCCGGCUCCCGCUAUUGGAUGAGCCUAUGUCGGAUUAGCUAGUUGGUGAGGUAAUGGCUCACCAAGGCAACGAUCCGUAGCUGGUCUGAGAGGAUGAUCAGCCACAUCGGGACUGAGACACGGCCCGAACUCCUACGGGAGGCAGCAGUGGGGAAUAUUGGACAAUGGGGGAAACCCUGAUCCAGCCAUGCCGCGUGUGUGAAGAAGGCCUUCGGGUUGUAAAGCACUUUCAGCGAGGAAGAACGCCUAGUGGUUAAUACCCAUUAGGAAAGACAUCACUCGCAGAAGAAGCACCGGCUAACUCCGUGCCAGCAGCCGCGGUAAUACGGAGGGUGCAAGCGUUAAUCGGAAUUACUGGGCGUAAAGCGCGCGUAGGUGGCUUGAUAAGCCGGUUGUGAAAGCCCCGGGCUCAACCUGGGAACGGCAUCCGGAACUGU